CAAAAAGCAGUGGUAUGGUUCCUAUAUGAGCAGUCCUCUCGUAACCUUCAGGGAUAUAAAAACUAUUGUUCUUGGGUGAACCUAUGUUCUUUUAUCGUGAUUUAAGGUUCAGUAAAUGAUGGAAUAUUU